ACUCUCUCCUUCUCCAAUUGUAAAACACUCUGUCUCCCCAAAACUUAUGGUAGUUACAGUAGUUACAGGUUUCAUCCUUCAAAUUCAUGAUUUCAAGAACCAAAUCUUUUAAUUUCUUCUCGUUUCAGUUCAAAAUCAUGCCACCUUACAUCCAUCUGCUUAUUCAACUCCUCCCAAAAUGCCACCCUUUCAUUCUCCACCCGCUUCACCAUCACCCCACCCCACUCCCUCCCCACUGCCUCCCCGGCGACGGUAUCGCAUUUGGGGGAGAGAUACUAUCACAUCCUCAUUUAAUCUCAACGAAACCCUAACCAAUGGAACCUACAAAUUAACCACUAUUAUGAAUCCUUGUUAAAUCAAUUUUUCGAUGGAUUCUUCCUUCGCACUUCAAUUGGCCUCCAGAUUUGUCUUCCCCGCCCCAAAUUUCUGAAGAAUCUCUUUUGGAUGUUGGUUUUCAAUUGCAUAAAGAGGUGAUUCAGGUGGAAUCGUCUACCUCUGAUGAGCGGCAAACAAAAGCGUAGGUCGAGCUUAACCCAAAUAUAGAGCGAAGGUGUUCUAAUGUUCUGCCCACAGUUUUCUCGGCUAAAGAUUGGUUGAUAAAGAGAAAUUCCAGGUACGUAUGUGAGGAGGGAAUGUUCCCUAAAAGAACGAGAACUUUUAUGCGGGCGGCUCAUUGAUCGGCUUAUACGACCAUUUUUCCCUGCUGGAUUUUAUCAUGAGGGUCAGGUGAUGUCUAGUGUGCUUUCUUCAAAUGAGAAACAAGUUCCAGAUGUAAUGUGUUCUGCACUGCUAUGUUUAAGUAUUUUGCUAUUACUUAAGUUUCCUCAACUUAAUUUGAAGGUUACGUUCAUAUCAAUUUAUGAUAUAUGAACAGGUGAAGGCGCCCUUUACUAGGGCUGUUAACGAGCCGAGUCAAGCCGAGCAAGGCCUAGCUCGAGCUCGGCUCGGCUCAAGCUCGAAUUAUAAAUCGAGCUGAGGUUUAGGGCUCGAGCUCGACUCGAUUAUAAAUUCGAGCCGACUCGAUUUAGCUCGAUCUAAUCAAGAACAGUUAAGUUGACAAGUAUAUAAGCACUCAUACAUGAUUUGAUUGCAACGUAAUUAAGCCAAAGACUUAAAUAUGUAACUUUUUUUGGCCAAAGAAUAAAAUAUGUAAGUAUAGCUUAUUAUUCUUUUGUUGGUUUCACCUUGAUUUUUAUAGGGGAGGUGUUCCCUCAGUGUUUGUGUUCUCUGCGAUGUGAGACAAAAGUGAUUGUAGGAUAAUCAAAGUUUAUGUAUUAGAAUCAUAUUAUUAGUUAUUUAUUGAUACUGAUAGUGUAUGUUUCAGAAUCAUAUUAUUAGUUCUUAUCAGUUCUUUAUUUGAUCUCAGUUACAUCAUCUGCAAAACACAUACACAUAGUUGGAUAGUCAAAGUGUACACAUCAGAAUCAUAUAAGAAUUCACUAGAUUCGUAAUUGUAAGAACUAACUAAAUAUUGAGAUUUGAAUAUAUAUAAGCUAACAAAUUCACAAUAUUAUGUCUCUAUUAAAACUAAUAUAUUAAAAAUAAAAUAAUUCGAGCCGGCUCACGAGCCGAGCCAGGCCUAGCUCGGGCUCGGCUCGUUUUCAAACCUAGCCGAGCCGAGCUGAACCGAGCCGAGCUGGCUCGUUUACAACCGAGCCAAUUUCAAGCCGAGCUUUUUUUGAGUUUUUUUCGAGCGAACUUCGAGCAAGCCGCGAGCUUUUUGAACACCCCUACCCUUUACAAAGCUACUCGCGAGCUACUCGAGCUCGGCUUGAAAAAAGCUUGAACGAGCUUAAACGAGCCCGAGUCUAAAAAACAAGCUACUUUAGUAAACGAGCCCAUGCCCGGGCUUCACUUAUUGAGCUCGAGCCGGCUUGCAAACCUAAACGAGCCUAUUGUUUAUGUAAAUUUUUAUUACUAUAUUAAAUAUAUAUUCAAAUAAUAAUAAAUUUAUGAAAAAAUAACUAAGUGCUUCUUUUAAUCAUGAUUAUUCAUGAAUAUUGAAGUUGACUACCAAGGUUUUCGGUAAUAAACGUGUUCAAUCUCAGGUCAUUUCAAGUUAAAUAAGUGCUUUUUUAACUAUGAUUAUUCAUGUAUAUUAACUUGUAGUCGUCCAUUUUCUACAGUUAAUGACCUGCAACAAUGUUACUUACAAAAAUGGCAUCAACUAGUGAAUCCAUCACGGAACCACCAUAAAAAGGAUGCUGUUGUCAUGCAAAGGGAAGGUAUAGUUCAGCUUUGUCUGAUUUUCAAUCUGUGCGGUCUACAUUUACACAAUACCGGUACCUAUGAAUAUGACCAUUUCUAUGUUUGUGUAGCAAAAUUGAAAUAAUCACUAAUGUUUAUAUUUCUCGAUUAGUCGACUAGAAGGGUGAUAGCAAAACUUAGAUAUGUGGAGCUCUAUCAUUCAGCUAACAUUGUAUCGAGAUUUUGAUCAUGAUGAUGAAAUUUUUGCUACUGCUGAUGUUUCAAGGCCUACAAAAAUUUCUAACAUCUCAACUGGAAUGAGAGAAGGUUGUGUUGUUACAACUUGCAAGUGCGGCUAGGAGUGACAGUUUGAGACAAAAGUAUUGUUACAAGUGCUCCUAGGAGUGAGUAAUGCAAGUUAUCUUGGAGUUGCUGCACAUUUGUAUAUAUCUUUUGAUUAGAACUUAGAAGUUUAUGUAUCUAGUAUUUAAAUUUAAAACUUAUGCAUGGGUUUUGGUUUAUUAUUGUUAAUGUCAUUAAAUUUGUUUUUUGGGUUU